UCAGCUUGUUGGUGGGGUAAUGGCCUACCAAGGCGAUGACGGGUAGCCGGCCUGAGAGGGCGACCGGCCACACUGGGACUGAGACACGGCCCAGACUCCUACGGGAGGCAGCAGUGGGGAAUAUUGCACAAUGGGCGAAAGCCUGAUGCAGCGACGCCGCGUGAGGGAUGACGGCCUUCGGGUUGUAAACCUCUUUCAGUAGGGAAGAAGCGAAAGUGACGGUACCUGCAGAAGAAGCGCCGGCUAACUACGUGCCAGCAGCCGCGGUAAUACGUAGGGCGCAAGCGUUGUCCGGAAUUAUUGGGCGUAAAGAGCUUGUAGGCGGUUUGUCACGUCUGGUGUGAAAUCCCAUCGCUCAACGGUGGGCUUGCAUCGGGUACGGGCAGGCUAGAGUGUGGUAGGGGAAACUGGAAUUCCUGGUGUAGCGGUGAAAUGCGCAGAUAUCAGGAGGAACACCGAUGGCGAAGGCAGGUUUCUGGGCCAUUACUGACGCUGAGAAGCGAAAGCAUGGGGAGCGAACAGGAUUAGAUACCCUGGUAGUCCAUGCCGUAAACGUUGGGCACUAGGUGUGGGGAACAUUCCACGUUUUCCG
rnacentral:rRNA from 1 species